GGGCCGGUAGUCUAGUGGUUAUGACGCUGCCCUUACGAGGCAGAGGUCCCCGGUUCGAAUCCGGGCCGGCCCA
rnacentral:tRNA from 1 species